AAAUCAAGCUGUAAGCCUGGUGUUCUGUAGAACAUUGUUUCUCUGUAGAGCGCCAAAAUAAACCUCCAGCAAAUCGUGGUGAUCCCCUUUAGAAGCAAUGAAAAAUCAUGGCUAGACUGCCUCAUCUGUGGUACAUGACGGCUGCCUAAUCUGCUUAGGCAGCUCAGCACGCACAGAUCCUAGAUCAGAGGCUUGAAUUCACCAAUCUGUGUACACACAGCUGGAUGCAAUACCCUUGGUUUUC
rnacentral:lncRNA from 1 species